AGAGUUUGAUCCUGGCUCAGGAUGAACACUGGCGGCGUGCCUAAUACAUGCAAGUCGAACGAACUUCCGUUAAUUGAUUAUGACGUGCUUGCACUGAAUGAGAUUUUAACACGAAGUGAGUGGCGGACGGGUGAGUAACACGUGGGUAACCUGCCCAGAAGCAGGGGAUAACACCUGGAAACAGAUGCUAAUACCGUAUAACAGAGAAAACCGCCUGGUUUUCUUUUAAAAGAUGGCUCUGCUAUCACUUCUGGAUGGACCCGCGGCGCAUUAGCUAGUUGGUGAGGUAACGGCUCACCAAGGCGAUGAUGCGUAGCCGACCUGAGAGGGUAAUCGGCCACAUUGGGACUGAGACACGGCCCAGACUCCUACGGGAGGCAGCAGUAGGGAAUCUUCCACAAUGGACGCAAGUCUGAUGGAGCAACGCCGCGUGAGUGAAGAAGGGUUUCGGCUCGUAAAGCUCUGUUGUUAAAGAAGAACGUGGGUGAGAGUAACUGUUCACCCAGUGACGGUAUUUAACCAGAAAGCCA
rnacentral:rRNA from 1 species